UGCAAGUCGAACGAUGAUCUCCCGCUUGCGGGGGUGAUUAGUGGCGAACGGGUGAGUAAUACGUGAGUAACCUGCCCUUGACUCUGGGAUAAGCCUGGGAAACCGGGUCUAAUACUGGAUACUACUCCUCAUCGCAUGGUGGGGGGUGGAAAGGGUUUUACUGGUUUUGGAUGGGCUCACGGCCUAUCAGCUUGUUGGUGGGGUAAUGGCUCACCAAGGCGACGACGGGUAGCCGGCCUGAGAGGGUGACCGGCCACACUGGGACUGAGACACGGCCCAGACUCCUACGGGAGGCAGCAGUGGGGAAUAUUGCACAAUGGGCGGAAGCCUGAUGCAGCGACGCCGCGUGAGGGAUGACGGCCUUCGGGUUGUAAACCUCUUUCAGCAGGGAAGAAGCCACAAGUGACGGUACCUGCAGAAGAAGCGCCGGCUAACUACGUGCCAGCAGCCGCGGUAAUACGUAGGGCGCAAGCGUUGUCCGGAAUUAUUGGGCGUAAAGAGCUCGUAGGCGGUCUGUCGCGUCUGCUGUGAAAGCCCGGGGCUCAACCCCGGGUCUGCAGUGGGUACGGGCAGACUAGAGUGCAGUAGGGGAGACUGGAAUUCCUGGUGUAGCGGUGAAAUGCGCAGAUAUCAGGAGGAACACCGAUGGCGAAGGCAGGUCUCUGGGCUGUUACUGACGCUGAGGAGCGAAAGCAUGGGGAGCGAACAGGAUUAGAUACCCUGGUAGUCCAUGCCGUAAACGUUGGGCACUAGGUGUGGGGGACAUUCCACGUUCUCCGCGCCGUAGCUAACGCAUUAAGUGCCCCGCCUGGGGAGUACGGCCGCAAGGCUAAAACUCAAAGGAAUUGGCGGGGGGCCCGCCACAAGCGGCGGAAGCAGGCGGAUUAAUUCCGAUGCAACGCGAAGAAACUUUACCAAGGCUUGACAUUCACCGGGACCGCACUUGGAGACAAGUGUUUCCCCUUCGGGGGUCGGGUGGAAAGGUGGGUGCAUGGUUU
rnacentral:rRNA from 1 species